CGAUCAAAUCUCGCUGAAACACCAGUUCUUGUUUGAUCAGCCGAGUUAAGCAGUGUCGAGCCCGGUCAGUACUUAGAUGGGUGACAGCUUGGAAAUACCUUGUACCGUAAG